UGUGAGCUGCCAUGUGGGUGCUGGAAAUUGAACCCAGGUCCUCUGGAAGAGCAACUCGUGCUCUUAAUCGCUGAGCCAUCUCUCCAGACCCUUAUUAUUGUUUUCUUAUGGGUAAAAUUUUAUUACCAUCGUGUUUUGAACGAACUUUUUUUUUUUAAAUCAAAGGACAUAUUCCUGAGUUCUAGUUUUCCUCCUGUAAAGUUUUUGACUCCACCUAGUCGCACAGUCCUUCGGCAGGCAGGCAGCGACGACAUCCAUGUACUCUGCCUUAUUCUUUGGUAAAGCACCAGUAGCCUUUAAGAUGGGUUUGUCAGUUUUCAGUCACAUCACCUACACCUAUGGCAGGCUCUGUGGACCGCAGAAAUGACCUUCUUGGACCCCGAGGACAGCUUUACUCAGAUCUUUUUGGUCUCCGAGUUGCGGGUGAUCCCUGAGGUAUAGCUACAUGAGGUUCGUGCCGACUUCUCCCUACAGCAGUCCAAUAACACCCUCAAGCAUGAUUCUCACAUUGCAAAACCUUGCCGAUGUGAUGCUCUGCUGGGUUUUCGUGCCUCGGAUGCGCGAACUGUCUAAGGCAGAUUGCCUCUGCAGCGACGAACGGCUCUGUUCGCUUCUUAAAUCUGUAGGGAUCAUGAAAGACCACUUUCCUGGAUGGUUUUAUGUCAAGGCAGUUAUUUUUCAAAUCCUCCGAAGGCUCGAGGUUCUCCAUGAAGCAACAAGGAUACCCAGAUUUCCUGCCUGCUACGCUUUGGGUUGUGUGCGCCACGCAUCUAAAGAACAGAUUAGGAUUGUGGCCCGUGGUUGGUGUUUGUGUACGUGGGGUAAGCCAUAGCGUAAACUGAGGUUGAGAAAGGCAGUCCCGGGGAAGGGAAGUCUGAGUCAAAUCUUGGAGGACACUGUGUUGACAGCGUUGUGGGUAAGCAACAGAGAGAGGAGGGAAAGGGAGAGAGUGGAUAGACUCAAAGGCCAUGAGAUGCGAGGCUCACUGGUGUUAGAGGCUGGGACACAUAGCUAACUACAGGACCCAAAUGGUAGAAACAGGGCUAGGGAGGCCACAGGGUCCAAGCUAAAGGUGAGAUUUUACUCUGAAGUCAUGCCAAUUCACAACUAGUCUUCGUUAAGUCCAGGUACCCUCCAUUGCGAUUUUAGCUUUGCAAAUGUAGGCCAAGUGGCAUCCAUUGUUCUGGGAUUAGUGAAUAAAACCAGAGUCACAGACAGACAGCUCACAAGCAGGGAAAGGCUCUCAGAUAAGUUAGUUUUGACUGCUUUUCAAUUUUUUUUUUAAGUAAAACUGAACUUUAGGCAAGAAUAUUUUGUAUGUAAAACUUGAGAUCAUCAUUUCCUCCUGGAAGAAAAAAAGAAAGAAGGAAAGGAAGAAAGAAAGAAAGGAAGGAAGGAAGAAAGGAUUUGGCAACUGUGAGUGCCAAGCCCUAGCUUGAGUGACGCUAGCUAGCUGCUGGCCCCAGGAGGCAUUUGAGCUUUUGACCCUCGGAAUAAAAGAACAUUUUGUGUCUAGAUCCAAACUCCCACUCCUGGUUCCAGGUAGCAGCAAGAGAUUGUUACUGAGGAAAGCAGUUUUCCUGGGAGGAAAGACACUGAUCCCAACUCCCCUCCCCCAAGAAGCCUACAUUAUGGGUGGGCAAGUCAUGCAGGGUGCAUUCAAGAGGCGUUGGUCACAGCCCAGUGACAAAGAACAGCGGGGCUCCUAACGCAACAGCUAAUGCCCAUCCCGGUUCGGGCUCAGUUUCUAAGAUAACCUGGCCAUCUGCCACCCAGUAGGGGGGUCCAAGUGACCAGUUGAAAAAAAAGUCACAAAAUUCAGUCCCGCUUGUACCCCACAUUUUCGGAGCAGGAUAUGCAAGCCAUGUACCCAAACCAAACAUUUUAAGCAGAGAACACAGGUCUCAUUUUUACAAUCCUGUGAGAUUUGAUUACUCCAGGCACAGAAGAUGGUUUGAAGUGAGCAAAGUCAAAACUAGUUAGGAAGACAUUUUCUUCCAAGAACAGAAAUAACGACGCAUGACAAAGCAGUGUGUGUGGCUGUGAAGACAGAUCAUGAGUUUCCAAGACACAAGUGUGGGAGACACGGCCUGUCUCUGUGGUCUGUGAGGCACAGGAUCUCGGGAAGAGGUCUGGGAUAAUCCCUGAUUUCUAACUUGAGCCUCUUGAUCCUCCUACCAAAAUCAGCAUAAUCAUCAUCAUCAGAGGAGGGCGGCUUGGAUCGCUUAAGGCAGAGCCACUUAAUAGGCGAUCACUUACCACUCAAGCUGGGCCCCACAACAUGCCAGGCCGCGGGAAAGCAGAAUCCAGAGAUGGAGAUGGGACAUCGUUAGUUCGUGCGCGUGGGGUGUGACAGAGCACUUGCACCCUAUGCCUAGGGUGAAGCCUGACUUUCAAGGUAUAAAAGCUAAACACAUCUUUACAUUUUUUUUCCUUUUUAGCUUGAGCUAGGUUGAGUUGGACUUCCAUCACUAAUAGCCAAAAAAAGUCAGUCAAAAUAAAAACAAAUGUCUUUUGAAUGGUAAGGAGAGUGAAAGAAACUUAAUUCACGGAAUAUAAGGUGAUUGUAAUCUGUUACUAUUAUCAGCACUAUUUUGAUUUCUCACCACUUAUUCGUGACAACUAUUUCACAUUCACAAUUGUGUUUUUCUUUUAAUAUUUAAUUAGUUAAUUUUUGAGAAAACAUCUGACUACAUAUCCUUGGCUCUCCUGGACAUGAUGUAGACUAGGUUGACCUCCUGAACACACAGGGAUCUGUCUACCUCUGCUAGGAUAAAAGGCAUGGACCAUCAUGCCUAAAUAUAAUUAAAUCUGGCUCAUGGGCCAGAUAAGACCCUCAGAGAAGGUCCUGAUUGCUUUUUAAAAUUUUUUUCUUAAAUAAAACUACAUUUAAAAUGAUAAUAUUUGUUGGGCAGUGAUGUCACAUGCCUUUAAUCCCAGUACUGGGGAGACACAGGCAGGAGGAUCUCUGUGGGCUUGAGGCCAGCCUGUUCUACAGAGCAAGUUCCAGGGCAACCAGGGUACACAGAGAAACCUUGAAAAACAAAAACAAAUACAACAUUUUUUAUCUAAAACUCCUCUUGGGGACAGGCAGGACAUGGCAACAGUGAAUGCCAGUUCCUACGUAGCCCUAGCAAACGCACGCAUGUAUGUGUGUGCGCAUGUUUGGGAACAGAUGCAAACAUGUGGAGAUCAGAUAGCAUGCAGGAGUCUCUGUUUUCUCUGGUCAGAAGUUCUCUGAGAUGAGUUGGCUCUGUCAGAAUGGAAUCUUCCAAAUCACUGAUCCUGUGAAGGGCCCCACAGAUAGCAUAGAUUUUAAACUGCCCAUCAACCCCGCCUGGGAUCUUGUCAGCCACAUUAUCUGAUGGAGGCCUAGGCCUUGCAAGCACUAUCUGUUACAUUUGCCAAUAGAGCAUUUCCUAGUACGUGCAGCACAUGUACUGGGCUUGGCCAUACCAUUUGCAUGUAGAGGCCAGGUCUUCAGCCCCUUAAGUUCAAAACCAAGAGCUUCUUUGUCAGGGGUGGUGGCAGAGGUGGGUGGGGGAGUGGGAGGGGUGUUGAGAGAGGGCCUCACCAAAUAGCAAUGUCUGGUUAAUGACUUGCUAUUUACACCGAGUUGUCUUAGAAGUCACAGUAAUUCACCUGUCUCAGCCUCCCGAGCGUUGGGAUGACAGGCAGGCUCCUGAGGGAGAUUUUAGGAUGUGGUCUAGCAGUAAACACAGAUACAUCUGACCAGUACUUCGGAACCACAGAGACUUGGUAUACUGGGGUUUAGUCAGCACUGUGAGAUGUCCGGUCCUGUCUAGUGCUGGUGUCCUAACCCUGACAUCACCAUCUCACUCCAGCUCCCUCCCCCCCACUGCACAUCCUGUCUAACUCUUACCCCUUGUGUUCACCACUGUCUCUCUCCUAGACAACGGCAAAGGAAGGGAAUAAUGCAGAGAGAAUCCGAUUUUUAGAAAUGAAAGAAGAUAAAAGGUCUAAGUUUAUGGCAGCUGUGGUUUCAAUAAAUCAAACAUCGUUGGAUUGUCAUUGUUUUGGUGUGUGUGUGUGCGCGUGCGCGCGUGCGUGCGCGCGUGUUGCUUGAGACAAGGUCUUACUCUAGCCAUAGCUGCCCUGGAUGGAACUCACUGUGUGGACCAAGAUGGCUGCUAAUUCAAAUCACCUGUCUCUGUUUCUCAAGCCCUGGGACUAAAGGCAUGUGACACCAGGCCCAGCCUUUGUUUUGUUUUGAAAUAAGUCUCUGGUAGCCCAGGCCACCUUCCAGUCAUGGUGAUCACCCUCUUGUAUAGCUUUCCAUGGGCUGAGAUUACAAGCAUGCACUACUUGCUUAAAUUAAACAUGUUUUGCACUAGACAAGACUGGACACCUCAUAGUAUUGACUAAAUCCUAUUAUACUCAAGUCUCUCUGGAUCCUUGGUACUGGUCAGGUGUGUACCUACGCUAGGGAUGGAACACUGGUCUUUACUAUGCUGGGAUGGAACACUGGUCUUUACUAUGCUGGGAUGGAACACUGGUCUUUACUAUGCUGGGAUGGAACACUAGUCUUUUCCACGCUCGGCAAUGCUUUCCCACUGAGCUCCAUCCUCACCCCCACUGAAAUAUCAUCUAAGAUCUUUUGUUCUGAUGAAAGCAGUACAGUAAGACUGCAACCUGCAUCAGCUCACCACUGCCUGUAACAAGCCACCGUGAGUACAGUAGCUUGAAGUGGGAAGCAUGACUCUCCCAUCUGUCUGCUCAUUUGCUCUGCUGGUGAGCCUGCUCAGCUGGGACCAGGCAGCCUAGGACAGCCUCUCUCGCUGCUAUGAUGGCCAGGCCGAAUAGCAUGAGCUGGGUUAGCUCAACUGUGCUCCGUGUGAUCUGUUAACCUCCAGCAGGCCAGCCCAGAGGGGAUCACAUGGUGGUAGCAGGGUUCCCAGAUCAGCAACAAGGCCAGCCUCACUGUACAUGCAUUUUUCUUAAAGGCUCUGUUUAAAUCACAUUUGUUAAUACUCCAUUAGCUAGAAAGGUCAUGUGGUCAUCCCAGAGUUAAGAGUCAGGUAAGAUCGGCUGGGUGGUGGUGGCGCAUGCCUUUAAUCCCAGCACUCAGGAGGCAGAGGCAGGGGAUCUCUGUGAGUUUGAGACCAAGCCUGGUCUACCGAUCGAGUUCCAGAGAAACCCUGUCUCGAAAAAACAAACAAAAAAAGAGUCAGGUAAGUUCUACUUGAAGGAAAGUCAUACCACAUACAAGAAGUAUAUAAAACGAGGAUUUUGUUGACAUUUUUCUUACAAUCUGCUUUACUGCAAAUAGUGAGUAUUUAUACCUAGGCAUGAUGGUGCAUGUCUCUAUAAUCCCAGCACUUGGGAGGUAGAAGCGGAGUGUCAGAAGUCCAAGGUUAUCCUUGCCUAUAUAACAAGAGCCAGGCCAUCCUGGACUAUGUGAGGCUUUAUCUCCAAACAAACAAAAUAUGCACACAAGUAAAUAAACGGAAAGGAAAAAAAGAGGAGAGGCAAAGCCUUGCUGUGUGAGUACCCAUGUGUUCGGAUGCUUCUGGAGGUCAGAGGGCAGGUGGAAGAGGUCAGAUCUCUCUUCCCACCAUCGUGGUCUCAGAGACCGAAUGCAGGCUGUCUGGCUGGGCAGCAGAUGCCUUUAUCUACUGAGCUGUCUCCACAGACCAGCUUGUUAAAACAGACGUGUUUCCAAAGAGAUCAGGCGAUGAGCAUGUCUGUAAACCGAGGUGCAUUGAAGAAAACACUAAUUGUUUAAAGAGACCUAAUUGUUUAAAGUUGCUCUUGAAGCUGCUGACACGGCUCAGCGGUGAAGAGCACCUGUUGCUCCUGCAGGGGACCCAGGACUGGUUCCACGCACCUCUGUGGUAGUUCCAGUUCGAGGGGAUCUGAUGUCCUCUUCUGGCCUCAGUGGGGACUGCACAGAUAUGUAACAUCCAGGUGAAAUACUCGUGCACAUAAAGUAAAAAUAGGUGUUUUGUUCUCAACUGAAUUCUUGGAGAAGUAAAUAAUUGCUUCUUGGUUGUCCACUCUCUCUCCUCACAAUGAGAGGGCUGAAGAGAGAAGGUUGAGAAGGGGUGGUAUGGCGUGAGGUGUCUGGAGGCCAGGAGGAAGGGGCACCCUUCCCGAGCACGUGGAAUCACUUCCUCCUGGAAGGCUUUCUCACUUCCCGUCAUGAGGCUGUGAGUCCGUGUGAGCCCUCUUUUCCUCUGUCCUACUUAGUCCCACACCUUUGGUUGUUUACCCGCCUUUUUUCUUACUAAUAAGUGACAAAAGAAAAAGGACACAGAGUUUAGGGUUAAGGAGGAGAGGGUGAACCUGGGUGAAGUUAGGGCAAAUAGGAUAAAAAUACAUUAUAUUGAAUUCUCAAAGAAUUAGUAAAAUAGGGUUUUAAAUUUUUACCAGUGCACAUGCGUUGGCAUGUGUGUACCACAGUGGUGCGUGUGCAGAGGCUGCAGGACAACUAACAUGAGUUGGCUUUUUUCCUUCCAACAUGUGGAUCCUAGAAAUCACACCCAGCUCUUCAGUCUUGGUGGCAAGUGCUAUGACCCACUAAGCCACCCCUCUGACCCUGUUCACCGGCGUUGCCUUCCCACAGUAUUUAUAAACUCAAGGAGGCAAGAAGAGAGACUGUGUCUCAUUCCCCUUAGCUUUAAGUCACCCUUACCACCCACAGAGCAAAUGAAACAACCACAAAGCUUGUCCUCUCUUAUCUCUUUAGAGUGUGUUACAACAAAACGAACAAAAACUUUGGGUGGGGUGUUUCAGGUUUUAUCCCAGCCCUAGGAAGGCAGAGCGGAGGAUGGUCAUAAUCCCAAAACCAGCCAGGCCUUCGGUGAGUUCCAGGCUAGCCAUGAACGUGACAUUUUAUCUUCACAAAAAGGAAAAGAAGAGUGGGGUUUGGGGCUUGGGAGAUUGCUCAGUCGGUAGAGCACUGGCCUGAGGUGGGGGAGACCGUGGCUUUGAUCCUCCACAUCACAUAAAACGCUCCUGGUGGCGUAUGCUAUGCCUGUAAUCGCCGUGCUCGGGAAACAGAGGUGGGUGUGAGCGUGUGUCAGGGUUUCAAGGUAAUUUCCAGAAAGCAAAACAAAACACUCAUCUAGUGAUGGUCAUCUGGCAAAGGCUCUUGCUGCCAAGCCUGAUGAUUUGAGUUUGACUCCUAGAACUCACAAGUGGAAAGAGAGAACUUGACUCUCUCAAGUUGCUCUCUGACCACUGCGUAAGCUUCGUGGAAUGUUCCACCCAAGCCUCCCUCCCAAAUAAAUAAUGACAUAGCAAUAAGAGUUUCAAGGUAAGCCUUGGCUCAUAGGGGAUUUCAAAGUCAGCUUGGGCUACAUGAGACACCAUCUUAAGUAAAUAAAUAAAUAGAUCUUGCCCCAUGACUUCAGAGUUAUGUAUACUGAAUCACUUCAUUUUCCCCUCCUAGUGUCAGAUAAGCAGCUGGGCAGUUCCUAUAAACUGAACGGUAAUAUGGUCACAGAGUUCUAAAGUCCAAAGGACAUUAAGGAACCACCUGUUUUUAAGGUAAAGACGCUAGCCCAGAUAAGCUCAGUGACUCACUUUGGACCACACCGAGAGUAAGGGCCAAAUCAGAACUGUCAAAUCAGGGACUCAAAGUCCAGAUUCUAUAACCAAGGUACCUUUGUUAUAAUCGGGCAGGGCGCACACAGGCUUCCUGCUGGGCCAGUGGAAAGAAGGCUCUAUUCCUCAUUGGGUUGUAACUCAUUCAUAAAGGAGUAAAUGAGGGCUGUCUCUUCCCUCAGCAAAGACUGACUGGAAGCAAGUGUCUUGACUCCCACCCGGAAUCCCAGUACUACAAAGGCUGAACCAGGAGGAUAUCGGUCUGUUCCUCCAGCCUUGUGGCCUACCUGCUAAUCGAAGAAGAAUUAAAACAAAACAAGUCCUGUGUGGCCUAGAUUUGGACCAGUGUAUGAGUGUCUGUCCAAUGGGUCUCCAGAGAAGGCAAAGCCAAUGGGGACAGUCUCACUCAACAGGGAACCGUGGACUUCGGGACAGCUGGUUCCGGGUGGCCUGUCCAGCACUCUCUUCUCUCUGUAAUACUGACGAUUCUCUUGGCAGUUUCACAGUCACUCUGUGAGCCAUGCGUGGGACAGGUGUGAUCAUUCCCAGAAACCCCAUUUUUUUCUUGAAUAUUUUCCCCUAAAAUUCUUUGGGAGCUGAUGUUUCUCAGAAUUCUUGUCUGGGGAGGCAGCUGUCACUCCAGACCCCGGUGACCGUUCUGAUUCCGUGCUGAUGGGAUCGGAGGCAGACCACCCCUGUUUCUGUAAAUAUAUUUUGAGCGAGAUUUUUGUUCUUGAAAAUGUGUACCUAUGUCAAUCACCUUUUAGUAAAGACAGGAUGUACCUGGCUCGAUAUUUGGAGGAAGGGGAAAACUUGUUUGUUAGUAGGGAAAAACAUGUUUGUUUUGAUGUAUAAGUAAAGAUGGCCGAAGCUAUUCAGGGCUGGCCACUCUUGUGAAACUCA